rnacentral:RNase_P_RNA from 1 species
UAGGGUCAGUACUUAGCUGACGGUGUGGUUAUAGCAAUAUAAUGACGCUGAGGAAAGUCCACCCACUAUGGUUUUUGCCAUAUAGGCACUUGCGAAAGCAAGAUCCAGAGAUGGAUGGCAACCACUCAGAAACGAAACCGCUGUAAAAUAGUAUGAUGCUUGCGAAGUUUUUGGUGACAAAAAUGAGUACCAGCUGACGUUUUUUACGGAAAGGAUGAAACGGUGAGUCCUGUCUGGUGCAAGUCAGUGAAUGCUGAAUUUUGCAAGAAAUUCAUAGCAUUCCAGUACGCUUAGUUAAAUGCUAAGACAGAUCAUGGCAAUUAUGUUGCUUACGGUCUGACAGAAGGUGGCUUAUUCUGGCCCUA